CUGAGAGAGGGGCUUCGCGCUCCCGGGGGUCUCGGCCCCCAACUCUUCACCCAUUGUUUACCUACCUUUGUUGCUUUGGCGGGCCUCGGGGGUUUGCCCCGCGCUGGCUUUCGGGCCGGUGAGCGCCCGUCAGAGGCCCAUAAAAUUCCGUUUAAUCAGCAACGUCCGAGUAAAAAAUCAAAAUAGUACAAAACUUUCAACAACGGAUCUCUUGGUUCCAGCAUCGAUGAAGAACGCAGCGAAAUGCGAUAAAUAAUGUGAAUUGCAGAAUUCAGUGAAUCAUCGAAUCUUUGAACGCACAUUGCGCCCCUCGGUAUUCCGGGGGGCAUGCCUGUUCGAGCGUCAUUACACCCUUCAAGCGUAGCUUGGUAUUGGGUCUUCGCCCCUGCGGCGUGCCCGAAAAGCAGUGGCGGUCCGGUGUGACUUUAAGCGUAGUAAAUUUUCAUCCCGCUUUGAAAGUUCGUCCCGUGGCCGGCCAGACAACCCCAUUUACUUCAAUAA
rnacentral:rRNA from 1 species